CUGUAGGUCCUCCUGACCAGUCCUCUCUCUGUGUUAAUGCAGUAGUUACUUUGCCUUGUGCGUCAUUACGCAGCUUCCUCCUUUUGGAGACACACUUUGGAUCCUGUGAAGCUGCAGGUAUUUAAUAUAGACAAACAUCUGGGAGCAACUGACACAACAAGGGCUCCUGUUACAGGCUGAAUUCACUGAAUGUCAGGAGAAUCCAGCUGAGGGGGCACAGGGAUCAUCACAGAUGAGUCUGAAGGUUGGAGUGGACCAAGAUGAGCCAUUAUUUAAUGCAUACAGCACAACUUCAGGAUCUCAGCUAUCAUUUGAAACC